GACGAACGCUGGCGGCGUGCCUAACACAUGCAAGUCGAACUGGGUAUUGGAAGAUUGCUUCGGAUACUUAGUGGCGAACGGGGGAGAAACGCGUGAGGAACCUGCUUUUGAGUGGGGGACAAGAGGUGGAAACGACUGCUAAGACCGCAUCAUGUAUUCGGACCGCAUGAUAUGAAUACCAAAUCUUUAUGUGCUGAAAGAUGGCCACGCGGCUGUUUAGCUAGUUGUUGGGGUAACGGCCCACCAAGGCGACGAUCAGUAGCCGGUCUGAGAGGAUGAACGGCCACAUUGGGACUGAGAUACGGCCCAGACUCCUACGGGAGGCAGCAGUGGGGAAUAUUGGGCAAUGGGGGAAACCCUGACCCAGCAACGCCGCGUGGAGGAAGAAGGCCUUCGGGUUGUAAACUUCUUUUACCAGGGACGAAGGACGUGACGGUACCUGGGGAAAAAGCAACUGCUAACUACGUGCCAGCCGCCGCGGUAAAAC
rnacentral:rRNA from 1 species